AGCCUCAUUCUAAAUAAAAAUGGGCACUGUUGCUUUUGGUGAAAUAGAUGUGGCUACAUUGAUACAAGUUAAGCUUCCACCACAGCAUCUAUUGCAUUGGUGACAAUGAGGCCAGCAACAUGU
ensembl:snoRNA